rnacentral:rRNA from 1 species
GACGAACGCUGGCGGCGUGCUUAACACAUGCAAGUCGAACGGAAAGGCCCUGCUUUUGUGGGGUGCUCGAGUGGCGAACGGGUGAGUAACACGUGAGUAACCUGCCCUUGACUUUGGGAUAACUUCAGGAAACUGGGGCUAAUACCGGAUAGGAGCUCCUGCUGCAUGGUGGGGGUUGGAAAGUUUCGGCGGUUGGGGAUGGACUCGCGGCUUAUCCGCUUGUUGGUGGGGUAGUGGCUUACCAAGGCUUUGACGGGUAGCCGGCCUGAGAGGGUGACCGGGCACAUUGGGACUGAGAUACGGCCCAGACUCCUACGGGAGGCAACAGUGGGGAAUAUUGCACAAUGGGCGGAAGCCUGAUGCAGCAACGCCGCGUGCGGGAUGACGGCCUUCGGGUUGUAAACCGCUUUCGCCUGUGACGAAGCGUGAGUGACGGUAAUGGGUAAAGAAGCACCGGCUAACUACGUG